rnacentral:tRNA from 1 species
GAGGGGAUAGCUCAGUGGUAGAGCAUGUGCUCAGUACGCAGGAGGUCCUGGGUUCAAUCCUCUGUCCCUCCA